rnacentral:lncRNA from 1 species
CCCAUAUUAGCCAAUAUAGAAGGAAUCGUCCUUAUUUAUAUCAGUGUUUGUAUUUGAUGCCUAUAUGUUUUUAAUCACCCUCUUUUCUCAAUAGGGUUUUCUUUUGGGCUCAUAUUUUAGCAAUCCUUUUAUUUGCUUCACCAGAACCUUGAUUUGAUCAGUGAAGGGCGAUACUAGAGGAAUUAGUGUUCAGAAAGGAUUUUUCAUGAUGAGGCUUCCUCUCUUCCCCUGAUAAUCUAAGGGUCACAGUAUGUGGGGCUUGACAUGGGAUGCUAUCUCGAUAAGUGGAUCUGCUGCUUAUAUGCUUUGUCAAGUUUCAUUUCUGUAUUCCAGAAAUCUCAUUCAUUUGUGUUAUUAAUAACCUGGUGAUGUUCUCUCAUUUUUUUGACCAGAACCAUCAGCUCUCAAGACAUCUGGGUGGAUUGGAUCAUGAUAUGUGCUUUUGAGGGAGGGUGUUCCUCAACCUUUAUUAUAGAAUUGGUAAUAUUUCCCAUUUGUUCUUAAACUUAGAGUUCAAGUCAUAGGAUUGGUAGUUCUGAUGUCACAGAGAGCUUGCACCACAUCAGGUUAUCUUGCUCAAGGGCAUCUUUACCUGAUAAUGAAGAUGGUUUGAAGGAAAUGUAAUGAUAUGAUUUUUUAUGGAGGGAGUUUCUCAUCUUUGAUAGACUACUUUUUCAUACACUAGCUGUUCAUGGGGAAUGUUGGAAGUUACUGUAUGGUUUGUGUUGUUGCAGUAACUUUGCUGUAGGUUAUUAUUUUGCCCAUGUGGAAGGGUUUGUCUGUAUUUCUAGCUUGGCCAUUUUCAAGAUUAAUUUAUAAUUUGUCAAUCUUUGUUCUGAGUGCUGAAAGUUUGAGUAACUGGGAUUAAGGAAGGGUUUUUCAUGAAGGUGCUUCCUUCCACAAAUUCUUUAGGAGUCCAUGAUCUCAUUCAUCUCUGUUGAGUUGGGUGACCUUGUGAGCUUCUCUCAUUUGUUUGACUUCCUUGAGCGCUUGAGAGAUUUUGGGUGAAAGAGAGAAGGUAUGUCUUUUUUAACUAUGGAGUGGGUUCCUUAAGCUCAUUAAUUUGUUAUUGCUGGCAUUGCAUAGGAGCUUGUGCAUCAUGGGCAAUCUUGCUCAAGGGUACUCUUGAUCUGAUAAUGGAAAAUGGUUUGCAGGAAUGAAAUGAUGAAGGUUGUUGUCAUCUUUGAUAGUGGAGUGAAUAUUUUCUAUUCUUUCCUCCACCAGCUGUUCAAACUGAGGAGGUUAAUUUAUUAUUUGUUCUGUUGCAGAGUUUGUGCUGCAAAUCACAGUUUUACCCUUGUGGAAGGGUUUGUCUCUAAUUUAUAUCAUAGUUUUUGUUUGUAUACCUGUGUUCCUAAUUUCCAUAAUUCAAUCUUGAUUUGGAAUCUGUCGAUCUAUAUUCUCAGCACCGCGAUUUUAAUUUUGGGUGACUAUCUUAGCAACCCUUUUGUUUGCUUUUCAGCACCUAAGUUUGAUCAGUGAAGGCAACAUGGAGGGUUAGAGUUAAGGAAGAAAUUUUCUUGAAUCACUUCACAGAUAAAGUUUGGGAUCUUUCAGUUUAUGUUGUGUGGGUUGGAUCCAUAAGAUACCACAGCUUUUGAUGUUCUAUAAUUCACCGAAAGGAGUUAGUAGUUCGAUCCUUUUGAUUCUUAUCCUCCUUGUAACAGGCAUCCUGAGCAAUACGUUGUUUUACAUAUAAAUUUGAUUAUCCUAUUGUUUCUCUCUAUCUACAAUGUGUCAUUAAGGAGUUGAAGAAUAGUUAACUAGUAUGAGAAAAUCUCAUUUUUUGGUAUGGUAUUUAUUGUAUUAUUGUUAUCUAUUCAGACUGUUAGUUUCUUGAUCGCUUGUUUAUCAAGAAUGUGGCAUAUAGGAUGCACAUUAUUUUUUGAUAAGGACUGACUCGAACUUUUUGAAUCUUGUUGGUAACUGCUGCACUGAAGGGAAAAUGCAAACAAGGAGCAGGGGGAGGGCAGGGUAAGGAAACACGGGUGGGGAAACAUGGAUGGUCUAACAUACCUCAUGCAUGGGGACAUUGAGGGAAUUGGUGUGACAUAGUAGAAUAUCAAUGGGAUUAUUGACGGUUUUUGUGUACUAUAGGUUAUGGAGGUAAGUAGAUUAUGGAUUUGGUUAUCUGUGAUGAUCCUUUUUUUUAUUUUCAUAGGGUUGAAGGUAUCUGCUAGCUUGUAUUCAUCUUUAUGCAGUGGCAGUUCGUAAAGCAUAUAAUAUGGAGUCUAUUUUGUUAAGUGGCUUUGUAGCUUUAUCUCUUGGUUCCAGAAUAUAUUCAUUCCCAUUGAUCUGGUAAGCUUGUGACCAUCUCUCAUUUCUUUGACCUGCUCCUUGAUCAUUAUAGGAUGUAUGCACUAAUUGGAAUAUGAUGUGACCGUUUUCACUGCCAUCAUCCUUAGCCUUGAGUUUAGAAUCAGUUAUAGUUGUUUUCCCCUGAUACUUAAGAGUUUAUAUGAUAGGUUAACUUGUUAUUUCUGUUGUUGCAGAAAAGCCAGUGCAACUGGGAAACAAUCUAUUUCAGGGGUAUCUUGAUCUUGAACAUUAUAUAAAAACUGGAGUUUAAUGUUGUGAUUUUUUUGUUAAGGGGAUCGAAAUGUUUGUUAGUGGAGUUUACUAUAUUUUUUUGUUCACAAACUAUUCACAUGGAAGAUUAAUUUAUUAUUUCUUCUGUCGCAGACGUGCUUAUAUUGCAGGAUGCAAUUUUUCCAAGGUAGAAGAGCAGAGUGUGUCCUUUAUAUCCUAGUCAUUGUUUAUGUGCAUUGGUGUACCAAAUAGUCGCCUUGUUCCAUUAUUGGCUUGUGUUCUCUUAAUGGAUCUGGUCCCUUGGUAGAUUUUGGAAAAUCCUGGAUUAUGAUUUGUAAUGAGCUUCAUUUUCUUCCUGUUAGAUUUGCACUAUAUUUUUUCUUGUAUUGAUAAUCGUGCUGUUAUAUAUUGUAGGCAAUGGUGUGUCUUAGAACUGAUAUAAGUUCUUCUAUUGAUAAGUGACUUAGUAGCUGCUACACUUAAAUCUGGGUUUGUAUUUUCAUCCUUGUUCCAAUUACUCAAAUAUUUCUUUAUUAUUGGUAAUCCUGUCAUUUGCCUCACCAGAACUGUGAUUUGAUUCGUGAAGGCAUAAUGGAGCAAUCCAAGUGGAGCAGUGAUUUUUCGUGCAUUGGUGCAUAUGGGAAUUGAUAUAUAUUCUGCUACUGCUGACUGACUUAGUAUCUGUUAGUCUAUUCUGCUCAUCUUUGUUCCUCAUGCUCUAACUUUUGAUAUGGAUUAGUGUUCAUCUCUUUUGCUUCACUAGAAAAUUGAUUUGAUCUGUGAAGGCACCAUGGGGGAAUCUAAGGGAAGAAGCAAUUUGUAAUUAUGAGAGUAGUACUGUAGGUGACAUUUCAGCUGAUGAACGGAAGGGGCUCACUGGCUUAUGUCAUUUCAUUGUAUUUUAAUCAUCAUUUACAUACUGUUGGCUUCUUCAAUUUCAUUAUCAGUAUCAAGAUUAUUGGUGGUUUUACUCUAUUCUUGCUUGCAAGCGGAUGUAGAUUUCUUGAAGAUUUGCAUUUAUUAUGGUAGUGAGUUUCUUGAAGAUUUGCAGCAAUUUUUUUGACUUGGUUUUAGGGUUUACAGAAUUAGAAGCUGUUUGUUCUUGUUUGUGUGUUUGACAAUUGAAUCCGGUUUCGUGUGAUCUUCUUUUUGAAAAUAAUUCAAGUGGUCGAGUUUUUUUAUGGAACUGGGAGUGCUCUUUUGUUAAUCUACAGGCAUUUCUUGUAACGUGUUUUGAUCAGUUUUUGAAUAUCGCCAAUCCAACAAUAUGAGUUCAGACUUGCUUAUGAUUUUCCUGCUGCCAGUUUUACAGUUUUUGGCAUUCAUUUUUACAAUAUUAUUUGCAGUUUGAAAGCAUCACACAAGCAUUAUUUUGCAGCCUGAAGAGUGUUUUCUGAUGUUUCUGAUGCUAAUACUCAAAAGAGAUGUUCCUGAUUCCAAUUCAAUGUUACUUUAGAUUCCAUCUUCCGGUGUUGGACAAGAUAGGCAUGAUUCAGAGGCUGAAAUUGAGAUUGAAGAUUUGCAGUAGUUGAGGAAUCUUCUGUGACUUGGUUAUUAGGGUUCACAAAAUUAGGAGCUGUUUGUUCUUGUUUGAGGAUUUGACAGUUGAAUCUGGUUUAUUGUGAUUUAGUUUUCCUUUUUUCCCUAAAAAAGAAUCCAAGUGGUCAGGUUUUUUUCUUAUGGAAGUGGUAGUGCUCCAUUGGUAAUCUGCAGGAAUCAGCCAUGGUGUAUUCUGAUUGGACCUUUGAGUAUCGCCAAUCUGACAGUCCGAGUUCAGAUUUACUUCAUCAUUUUCUUGUAUUCAGUUGGAGCACUGGUGCCGGGGUUAUGAGUUUUAAGUAUUUAUUUUAAAAAUACUUUCAGCGUGCAAUCAUCGUGGAAGUGGUUUCUGAUGUUUCUGAUGUUGAUACUCAUGCUCGAUGCUUCUGAUUGUGAGUUGUUAUUUCAGUUUCCAUAUUCUGAUGUUGGACAUGAGAAGUCUUUCAUGGGGGUUUCUUCUUCUUUAUAGUUGUUUCUCUUCGUGUUUUUAUUUUUGUUUUUUCAAUUAAGGUUUUGUAUGGUUAUUAUCAUCUGUCUAUUCCCUGGGGAUUUCUUGAAGAUUUGCAGUAAUCAAGGGAACCGGGGAAUUCUUGGAGAUUUGCAGUGAAUUUCUUGAAGAUUGCAGUAAUUAAGGUAGCGAAUUUCUUGAGGAUUUGCAACAGUUAGGUAUUUCUGUAUGACAUGGUUUAGGGUUUGCAGAAUUAGAAGCAGUUUGUUCUUCUUUGAGAAUUCAUCGAUAUGAGGUUUGAACCUGUUUUUUCAUGAUUUUGGGUUUUUUUCUAAAAGGAAUUUAAGUGGUUCAGGUAUAUUAUGAAACUGGAAGUGCCUCUUCAUUAAUCUACAGGAAUCAGCAGUGUUGUGUUUUAAUUGGAUUCUGAUUGUUGCCCAUCCUACUGUACAAGUUCAGGCUUGCUUCAUUAUUUUCUUAUAUUUAGUUGAAGAAUUGUUGCGGGAUUAUGAAAUUUUAGUUUUUUUAAAAUAUAUUAAGGUCAGUUUGAAAACAUCACAGAAGCAUUAUCUUGCGGACCAGAGAAGCAUGAUUUAGAGGCUGGAAUUCAGAUAGAUUGAUUUCUUGUGAAGGGGGUUUGUCUAUUGCAUGGAUAUGAUGAAAAUAUUAUUGUGCAGGAAACAAAGACUUCUGAUGAUGUUCAUGCCUAAUCAUGGUUCUUGAUUCUUGAUGGUUGCUUUAGGUUCCAUCGUGAAAGGGAUGCCCUUGUUAUCCAAUUCAAACAAAAGAGAUGAUGUAGAGGCAGGGAAUCAGAUUGUUUCUUUUUGAGUGGAUUCCUUUUCCUUUUGUAUUAUUCUUUAUCAGAUUUUGUGAUUUGAAUAAUUGGUUUGAUUCUGAGAAGCAAUAUGCGAUCAGAGAGAUGAUUCAUUUAACCUCCUGUUUUUGAUGAAAUUUGCAGUUAUAUGCAUUGAAGUGUCAAAUUGCACUGAUUCUUUUUCCUGAUUAGAGCUAUCACAUGCUGGUUUGAUAGAAUGAUAAAUUCGAUUUCCUUGGCUUGCUGUCACUUCAUAGGUUAAGCAUUGUGGGAACAUGAUAUCUCUACUCUUCCUGCUGCUUAAUUGGUUGUUACUUGAGCUUACAUUGCUGACUGGUUCAUCUUGGUUUACCAGAAUACCGAGUCAUUACUUGAUGGAGAUGCAGAGGCUGGAGAAUGGAUCUCGGAUGGGAUUUGUUCAGCAAUAUAUGUUUCGGUUAUGGUGUACUUUCAUCAUGUUGAUCAAUCAGGGUUAUUGACCAAUUAACUUAGUGCAUUUGCUUUUUAUGAUUCAGAAGAUGUCCUACUCCUUUUUGUCCCACGUGUUGUUGAGUGUGGCCAUUACUUCUGUUGUUACUGUAGUAUUUGGAAGGAUGUGGUGGGCAUCAUCUUCAAAAGGUUGGAUCAUUCGAUGCCUCCCUAGAUACACGGUAUUUGAGGUAUUCAUUAUUGGUCAGGACUACUUUUUCCCCUUGUAUAUUGAUUUUAUAGGACUCAUCCACCUUCCAAGUCCUUUCACAGUUCUUCUUCAUUCUUGGGUUGUAUUAUUGGCUCAUCUUUCUGAUCCAUUAGUGCUCACAAUCAUGGUUUAUGCGUUAUUUGCGGUUCUCUGGUGUAUUUGUGCUCUUGCAUGUCUUUUCCAUUCUCCCUCCAAGCAAGUUUAGGUUUGUCUGUUAUAAUUCUGAUACACUGCAUCUGCUACUAUACUUUCGGUGGUGAUCCCUUUUACAUCGGGUGCUUAUCUAGAUCUGGGAUAAUCUUGAUUUCUUGGUUAAUGUCAUGCAAUAUAUCAUCUUGUGAUUGAUGUUGGCAGUUGUUUCAUGAUUUCCUGUUGCAUCGGUGGCCUGGCGAUUCUCUCAUUUUCGACCAACACCUUGAGUUCUUAAUACAAUCUGGCUCCAUUGCAGAGUAUAUUUGUUUUUUCAUGAAGGGUUUUCUCGCUUUGAUUAUUGAAUUGAUUGUGCUAAUUUUUGGCCUUUAUGCUUUUAGUUCAGGUCUUUCUUAGUUUGUUAUUUGUGAUGUUGCAGAAGAGCUUACGCAACUUGGGAAAAUCUUGCUGAAGGGGUAUCUUCAUCUGAUAAUUGAAGGAAGCGCAGAGGAAAUGGAAUGCAAUGAUAUGUUUUUUUUUUUUUUUUACUGAAUUGAGUUUCUAAUCUUGAUAGCGGGGUUCAUUAUGCUUGCCUUUUCGUGCGGUAGCUGCUCAUGUGGAAACAUAAAGGUUAAUUUAUUAUUUGUGCUGUUGCAGUUUAGCUUGUGCUGCAGGAUACAAUUUUGCCCCAUAUUAGCCAAUAUAGACGAUUCAUAUCAUUGUUUGUAUAUGAUGCCUAUAUGUUUUUAAUCACCCUUUUUUCUAAAAGGAAUUUAAGUGGUUCAGGUAUAUUAUGAAACUGGAAGUGCCUCUUCAUUAAUCUACAGGAAUCAGCAGUGUUGUGUUUUAAUUGGAUUCUGAUUGUUGCCCAUCCUACUGUACAAGUUCAGGCUUGCUUCAUGAUUUUCUUAUAUUUGGUUGAAGAAUUGUUGGGGGAUUAUGAAAUUUUAGUUUUUUUUAAAUAUAUUAAGGUCCAUUUGAAAAUACCACAGAAGCAUUAUCUUGCGGACCAGAGAUGCAUGAUUUAGAGGCUGGAAUUCAGAUAGAUUGAUUUCUUGUGAAGGGGGUUUGUCUAUCGCAUGGAUAUGAUGAAAAUAUUAUUGUGCAGGAAGCAAAGACUUCUGAUGAUGUUCAUGCCUAAUCAUGGUUCUUGAUUCUUGAUGGUUGCUUUAGGUUCCAUCGUGAAAGGGAUGCCCUUGUUAUCCAAUUCAAACAAAAGAGAUGGUGUAGAUGCAGGGAAUCAGAUUGUUUCUUUUCGAGUGGAUUCCUUUUCCUUUUGUAUUAUUCUUUAUCAGAUAUUGUGUUUUGAAUAAUUGGUUUGAUUCUGAGAAGAUAUAUGCGAUCAGAGAGAUGAUUCAUUUAACCUCCUGUUUUUUAUGAAUUUUGCAGUUAUAUUCAUUGAAGUGUCAAAUUGCACUGAUUCUUUUACCUGAUUAGAGCUAUCACAAGCUGGUUUGAUAGAAUGAUAAAUUCGAUUUCCUUGGCUUGCUGUCACUUCAUAGGUUAAGCAUUGUGGGAACAUGAUAUUUCUACUCUUCCUGCUGCUUAAUUGGUUGUUACUUGAGCUUACAUUGUUGACUGGUUCAUCUUGGUUUACCAGAAUACCGAGUCAUUACUUGUUGGAGAUGCAGACGCUGGAGAAUGGAUUUCGGAUGUGGGAUUUGUUCACCAAUAUAAUAUAUAUUUCGAUUAUGGUGUACUUUCAUCAUGUUGAUCAAUCAGGGUUAUUGACAAAUUAACUUAGUGCAUUUGCUUUUUAUGAUUCAGAGGAUGCUGCAAAUAGAAGCAAAAGAUGUCCUACUCUUUUUUGUCCCAUGUGUUGUUGAGUGUGGCCAUUACUUCUGUUGUUACUGUAGUAUUUGGAAGGAUGUGGUGGGCAUCAUCUUCAAAAGGUUGGGUCAUUCGAUGCCUUCCUAGAUACAAGGUAUUUGAGGUUUUCAUUAUUGGUCAGGACUACUUUUUCCCCUUGUAUAUUGAUUUUAUAGGACUCAUCCACCUUUCAAGUCCUUUCACAGUUCUUCUUCAUUCUUGGGUUGUAUUAUUGGCUCAUCUUUCUGAUCCAUUAGUGCUCACAAUCGUGGUUUAUGCGUUAUUUGCGGUUCUCUGGUGUAUUUGUUCUCUUGCAUUUCUUUUCCAUUCUCCCUCCAAGCAAGUUUAGGUUUGUCUGUUAUAAUUCUGAUACACUGCAUCUGCUAUUAUACUUUCGGUGGUGAUCCCUUUUACAUCGAGUGCUUAUCUAGAUCUGGGAUAAUCUUGAUUUCUUGGUUAAUCUCAUGCAAUAUAUCAUCUUGUGAUUGAUGUUGGCAGUUGUUUCAUGAUUUCCUGUUGCAUCAGUGGCCUGGCGAUUCUCUCAUUUUCGACCAACACCUUGAGUUCUUAAUACAAUCUGGCUCCAUUGGAGAGUAUAUUUGUUUUUUCAUGAAGGGUUUUCUCGCUUUGAUUAUUGAAUUGAUUGUGCUAAUUUUUGGCCUUUAUGCUUUUAGUUCAGGUCUUUCUUAGUUUGUUAUUUGUGAUGUUGCAGAAGAGCUUACGCAACUUGGGAAAAUCUUGCUGAAGAGGUAUCUUCAUCUUAUAAUUGAAGGAAGCGCCGAGGAAAUGGAAUGCAAUGAUAUGUUUUUUUUUUUUACUGAAUAGAGUUUCUAAUCUUGAUAGCGGGGUUCAUUAUGCUUGCCUUUUCGUGCGGUAGCUGCUCAUGUGGAAACAUAAAGGUUAAUUUAUUAUUUGUGCUGUUGCAGUUUAGCUUGUGCUGCAGGAUACAAUUUUGCCCCAUAUUAGCCAAUAUAGAAGGAAUCGUCCUUAUUUAUAUCAUUGUUUGUAUUUGAUGCCUAUAUGUUUUUAAUCACCCUUUUUUCUCAAUAGGGUUUUCUUUUGGGCUCAUAUUUUAGCAAUCCUUUUAUUUGCUUCACCAGAACCUUGAUUUGAUCUGUGAAGGGCGAUACUAGAGGAAUUAGUGUUAAGAAAGGAUUUUUCAUGAUGAGGAUUCCUCACUUCCCCUG